AUUGAACGCUGGCGGCAUGCUUUACACAUGCAAGUCGAACGGUAACAGGCCGCAAGGUGCUGACGAGUGGCGAACGGGUGAGUAAUGCAUCGGAACGUGCCCAGUCGUGGGGGAUAACGCAGCGAAAGCUGCGCUAAUACCGCAUACGAUCUGAGGAUGAAAGCGGGGGACCGUAAGGCCUCGCGCGAUCGGAGCGGCCGAUGUCAGAUUAGGGAGUUGGUGGGGUAAAGGCCUACCAAGCCGACGAUCUGUAGCUGGUCUGAGAGGACGACCAGCCACACUGGGACUGAGACACGGCCCAGACUCCUACGGGAGGCAGCAGUGGGGAAUUUUGGACAAUGGGCGCAAGCCUGAUCCAGCAAUGCCGCGUGCAGGAAGAAGGCCUUCGGGUUGUAAACUGCUUUUGUACGGAGCGAAAAGGCUCUCUCUAAUACAGGGGGCUCAUGACGGUACCGUAAGAAUAAGCACCGGCUAACUACGUGCCAGCAGCCGCCGUAAUAC
rnacentral:rRNA from 1 species